AUUGAACGCUGGCGGCAGGCCUAACACAUGCAAGUCGAGCGGAUGAAGGGAGCUUGCUCCUGGAUUCAGCGGCGGACGGGUGAGUAAUGCCUAGGAAUCUGCCUGGUAGUGGGGGAUAACGUCCGGAAACGGGCGCUAAUACCGCAUACGCCCUGUGGGAGCAAGCGGGGGAUCUUCGGACAUCACGCUAGCAGAUGAGCCUAGGCCGGAUUAGCUAGUUGGUGGGGUAAAGGCCUACCCAGACGACGAUCCAUAACUGGUAUGAGAGGAUGAUCGUUCACACUGGAACUGAGACACAUACCAGACUCCUAAGGGAGGGACCGGUGGGGAAUAUUGGCAAAUGGACGAAGCCCUGAUCCAGCAAGACCGCGUGUGUGAAGAACGUCAUCAGAUUGGAAAGCACAUUAAGUUGGGAGGAAGGGCAGUAUGUUAAUACCUUGCUGUUUUGACGUUACCGACAGAAUAAGCACCGGCUAACUUCGUG
rnacentral:rRNA from 1 species